GCGCAUGUGCGGAGUGACUGGGAGGAACGCGUGAGUGUUUGAGGAACUUGAACUCGAAGCUCAAUGCUGAACUUGAAGAAGUUGCCAAGGAAGCUGAAGUCCUUCAAAGGUUCAACACUUCACAGUUGAAAAGGAAGACCAAAGGAAGGCCUGUCAAACUCUUGUUUGUGGAGAGGGAUGAAUUUGACCAUCUUGUGUUUACGGAGAAGACCAAAAGCUGCAAAGGCAAACAUUUCCAAUGGAUUUCUCACAGAUUACUUAGUCCUUCUCCAUCAGCUCAACACAAUAGCAGCCCUUCCAAAAGCAUCCACAUCGCUCUCUCUUGUGUGGCAUGUCUGCUCUCAGUCCUUAGCAUGUCUACUUGUAUUAUUUCUCCUCUAGUCAACACUCCCAUCUCUACUGUGAACACUCCUGUCACUAUCACCAUCCCACCUACUGUAUUCUACAUGCCAAUUAAUUCAAAAUGUGGCACAAACUGGAGAGAGAGAAUGCUGGUAUGGGCAUUAUGUUUGUCUGAAAAGUUUGACAUAUCAAUAAACACUGAUAUGGAAAUUACUACAAA
ensembl:lncRNA